AGCUGUAACACUCACUGCGAAGGUCCACGGCUUCAUUCUUGAAGUCAGCGAGACCACAAACCCACCAGUAGGAUCUAUCUCUGGACACAGAGCCCAAGUUCUGAUGCUAUCAGCAGUCUCUACUGUGGCAAAGAUGAAGGACAAAUCCAACACUUUCUAGGGCUAAAGGUGAAGUUCCGAUGAGGAUGAUGGUGGGGAUGAUGAUGAUGAU